CCAAUUUCUCAAUUCAAUUUAUGCAUCAGAUAUUCAUUCUUGUGUAGUUGGUUUUUUCAUCUUUUUGGGUCAAUUAUAGAAAGAUAAAGGCAAUACCUUUUCUUACCCAUUUAAGAGUAUGUACUGCUAUUUACAUUUUCUAUCAAAAAUAUCGGAGCCAGUUUUAUACUAAAACAAUUGUGCUACAAAAACAGGGAUUCCAGGCAAUAAGUGUCAACAUCUAAAUUGGAAGAUUGAACAAGG
rnacentral:lncRNA from 1 species